AAAUCAAGAGCUGGAUGUGCAAACGACAGAUACUCAGGUGGCCCAGGAUUAAUUUUUAGUAAUGGAAUGGCUGGGUUAAAUGGGGUGAAUAUCAUUUUAACUCUUUUAAGCUAUUACUCUCUUGCUUUAUAUACACUGUGACAACUCUGUGUAGGUGUGUACUUUAGACCGAGAUCACCCACAACGAGGGUUACGAUUUUCAGUUUAUCUUUACUAAUUAAAUAAGCAUAAAAUAUUAUUUUCAGUUCCAUUUCAAUUUCUAUUUGAGUCAUGGCCACCACCUUUGAAGUACCACUCCUCCGUGGUCAACGCAGACAUUUUAAGCACCACUAACUAAACUGCUAUUUCCAGGUUCUUUUAAAUCAACUUGGGUUCGACUUUGGUUAUAGACUUCAUUAACAUCUAGAAACGUGACAACCUGCACCUGCUUCAUAGGUGCCCUUCCCUGGCUCCCCUCACCUUCUCCCUAUUCUUGUCUAUGCUGGUGUCUACACAGGUCAGCAUCUCUCUAGAUUGUGCAUCUGUUCUGCCUUAUGAGUUAUGUCUAACUGCAUUUCUUUCUCUAGAAACAUGUUUUGACUCUUUGUUCCAAAUGCUCAGGACUACUGUUCUAUUCCAACAAUGCUGGCAGAGCCCAAAAUAGUUUGGAAAAUUUUCUUUGGAAAUUGUUGUCAAAGCCAUUGGCAUGUUCUUUUGAAUAUCCUUAUUAGUGGCAAAACUUGGUAUUUAGAAGGUAGAUUUUUAAAAUUCGUUUUGGAAGGAAACUAGUAUCUUUUACAUAACUUUCCAAAUCAGACGGAUCCUGUCAGAGGCCAAAAGCCAUGCCAUUAUUUCAGCAGGGAGACAUAACGAAACUAUUUCCCAGACAGAAGAGAGCUGGGCAGGCAAAAAGGGGACACCGAGGUAUCACAAAGGUAGUAGCUGCAGGAAGCAGCUGUCUCCCUUAGAGAUGGGGAUAUGUCGAGAUUACUAAAACUUGGAAGUUUCUAGGAGGAGCCCGCAGAGCUGGGACUCAGCCCCUAGGGAGAAGGCAUGCUCAAAUGCAACUCUGCUCGGAGCUUGGAGUCUGGAGAAGCGACUCUUUGGAGCUGGGAUUCUGACUCUGCAGAGGGAGGGUGCCAGUGGCUGGGGCCUCAUUUCAGAGAGAGCUCAUGGGCUUGGUUCUGGGUGAGGAACAACCGCAAACUAGAGCCACCUGUGCGGCUGGAACCAGCAGCUGCUGCGGGGUGAAGACCUGAUAGGAACGGGAAGCAAACCAAGGAGAAGGUCUCCAUCCUCCCUCCACCCCUCAUGCUCCCUGUGGCCUCCUUGACAGAGCCGAACAAGGAGCCAGCUGGAAAAGGAGAAUGUCGUUUGCAGAAGUUGAGCCCCGGCCUCAGAAGUGGACUUACGGAGGAGGGGAAGAUUGGGGCAGACAAGAGUGGCUUCGUAACCAGCCACCCAUCAGGUACCAGGCUGCAGGAGGAUUGUCAAUCAUGAGGCCUCCCUUAGUUCUUGGGACGCUCUUGUGCCUGAGGAAUUCCUGCUGACGUGUCGCUGAGGACCCGGAGGCCUGGAGAGAGGAGCUACUAGGCUGAGAAUGCACCCUUCUCACUCUGUGUUCAUGGCUGGUUCCACGACGUCUGCUGAAGGGGACUGGAACCCAACCUGUGAUAUCUCCAAGGUCUCUUGUGAUUACGUGGGCCCACCCAGAUUAUCCAGAAAGAUAUCCCAUCUGAGGAUUUCUGAGCACAUCUUCAGAGUGGCUGUGGCCAUGUAAGGUAACGUAUUCACAGGUUCUGGGACAAUCACGGGGACAUCUUUGUUGGGGCUAGAGGUUGGUGGAACAUUAGUUUGCCUGGUGCAGAUGGUUCCCCUUCACUACUCGAGAAACAGGUAAUACCUUUUGGUAACUUUAAUUUUUUUUUUAAUGUUUAUUUAUU